rnacentral:rRNA from 1 species
AGCGCAGGCGGUGCGGCAAGUCUGAUGUGAAAGCCCGGGGCUCAACCCCGGUACUGCAUUGGAAACUGUCGUACUAGAGUGUCGGAGGGGUAAGUGGAAUUCCUAGUGUAGCGGUGAAAUGCGUAGAUAUUAGGAGGAACACCAGUGGCGAAGGCGGCUUGCUGGACGGUAACUGACGUUGAGGCUCGAAAGCGUGGGGAGCAAACA